rnacentral:lncRNA from 1 species
GUGAGCAGAGCACUGGGAGAGGUGUGGGGAAGGAGUGGAGCGGGACAGAGGGAUUCAGUGGGACUGCAGCCUCUAAACGGGAACCACAACUGCGAACAUGGGACAGCCUUAGAGAAUCUUUCCCCUUAUCUGGCCCUGGACAAACUCUUGUGAUGCUGUUUACUUAUCUCUCUCUCCCAUUAGAUCACAAGUUUAAUAGGGUCAGACAUCUCAUCCUGCUGUCCCCACGUCCAGUGCUGCCACAUGAUAGACGCUCUAUAAGUCGUUGUCAAAGGAAUGGAUACAUGGAUGGAUGCAUGUAUGCAUGAUUGAAUAGAUACAUGGAUGGAUAGGUGCAUGGAUGGAUAGGUGCAUGGAUGGUUGGAUAGAUGCAUGGAUGGAUAGGUGCAUGGAUGGAUGGAUAGAUGCAUGGAUGGAUAGGUGCAUGGAUGGAUGGAUGGGUAGAUAGCUAUAGAUUUAACUGUGUCACUCGUACUUUAGCACUCCUCAGUAUUGCCAAUAACUAUCAAAAUUCAGUGUGCACAAUUCGUUUUAAAGUAAAUUACACAAUAGUAAUACUGACACAUGUACAAAGAUACAUGUGCAAGAUGGCCCCUGCACUGUUGUGUAUUAUACAAAAAUAUUGGAGCAGCCUGAUGUCUGGCAGUAGGAAGAGGGAGGCCUUGAGGGCAAGGACUGUGUUUUGUUCGCUGCUCAAUCCUUAGCACCUGGACUGUGCCUGGUACAUAAUAGAGGUCAAUAAAUGUUUGUCGCAUGAAGGAAAGCGUCAUCACUGAGAUGCCAUGCAGCUGUUGAGAAGGAUGCUGGAGAUGUGUGUGUGCUAAGGUGAGAGAUGUCCACCCUAUCGUGGCAAAGCAAGUCAUAGAACAGUGUGUAAGGGAAGAGCUGACUUUUGUGAAAAAAAAAAUAGAUGUUUUUAUAUAUACAUAGGAUCUUGAGGGGCCGGCCCCGUGGCGCAGCGGUUGGGUUCCCACAUUCUGCUUCUCGGCUGCAUGGGGUUUGCCGGUUUGGCUCCCAGGUGUGGACAUGGCACCACUUGGCACACCAUACUGUGGUAGGCGUCCCACGUAUAAAGUAGAGGAAGAUGGGCACGGAUGUGAGCUCAGGGCCAGUCUUCCUCAGCAAAAAGAGGAGGAUUGGCAGCAGAUGUUAGCUCAAGGCUAAUCUUCCUCAAAAAAAAAAACAAAAGAAGAAGAAGAAGAAUCUUGAGGGAUACACCCUAAACUGUUACCAGGGGGUUCCAUCUGAGGAGAAGGUUUGGAGG